rnacentral:rRNA from 1 species
AGAUGUGAGGAACUAGUGGGCUCAACCCAUAGCCUGCAUUUGAAACUGUAGUUCUUGAGUGCUGGAGAGGCAAUCGGAAUUCCGUGUGUAGCGGUGAAAUGCAUAGAUAUACGGAGGAACACCAGUGGCGAAGGCGGAUUGCUGGACAGUAACUGACGCUGAGGCGCGAAAGCGUGGGGAGCAAACAGGAUUAGAUACCCUGGUAGUCCACGCCGUAAACGAUGGAUACUAGGUGUGGGGGGUCUCGACCCCCUCCGUGCCGCAGUUAACACAAUAAGUACUCCCACCGUGGGGAGUACGAUCGCAAGGUUGAAACUCAAAGGAAUUGGACGGGGGCCCGCACAAGCGGUGGAGUAUGUGGUUUAAUUCGAAGCAACGCGAACGAACCUUACCAGGGCUUGACAUCCCGGUGCCGCUUCAGAGUAUAAGUACGUUUCCCGUUCGGGGCACCGGUGACGAGGUGGUGCUAGUGGUUGUCGUCAGUCGUCGUGUCGUGAGUAGUUGGUUGGUUUAACGUCCCGCGAAACGCGCGACCUAACCUUAUUGGUUUACG